CUACGUAGGGGGCGAGCGUUGUCCGGAAUGAUUGGGCGUAAAGGGCGCGUAGGCGGCCCGGUAAGUCUGGAGUGAAAGUCCUGUUUUUAAGAUGGGAAUUGCUUUGGAUACUGUCGGGCUUGAGUGCAGGAGAGGUAAGUGGAAUUCCCAGUGUAGCGGUGAAAUGCGUAGAGAUUGGGAGGAACACCAGUGGCGAAGGCGACUUACUGGACUGUAACUGACGCUGAGGCGCGAAAGUGUGGGGAGCAAACAGGAUUAGAUACCCUGGUAGUCCACACUAUAAACGAUGAGUGCUAGGUGUAGGGGGUAUCGACCCCUUCUGUGCCGCAGUCAACACAAUAAGCAUUCCGCCUGGGGAGUACGGCCGCAAGGUUGAAACUCAAAGGAAUUGACGGGG
rnacentral:rRNA from 1 species